CCAUACUUUUUCCCUUAUAUCAAUUGAAAUAUUUAUGCUUAAACCAAAACAUUAAAAUUAAGAAAUAUCAACAUUUCAUUAACCGUGAAAAAUACUACGACAGAGUAGUAUCAUAUGUCAUCAAGCUAAAUUAGAACAUCGUUAACCGUCUAUAUUACUCAACUAUUAUAUUGUCAUAACACAUCCACUUCAAUAAAAAUGAAUCUCAAUGGUUGUCACUGGGAUUACUAGCGCCAGAAGAUCUUCUUGCAUCCGUCAGUGAAACGAGACCACUAGCUGCAUCACUUGGUUGCACCAAAAAGUAAAAAAAAUACAACUAUUAAGAGGAGUAUCAGGAUUGAGCAUCAAAUUACUCUCUAAAUAAAAAAUUGAGCAUUAAACUAGUAUAUAAAUAAUAUUAAUGUUUUAUUAGAACAUAAAGAUUGCAGGAAGUACUUCAAGGAUGAUGCAUUGCGAUCCAAAAAGUCUAAGAGAAUUGGGCAUCAAGAAUAGAGGAACAAAUGGAUCACACAGAAGAAGUGUCUCAAGAAGUCAAGUCACAUCAUAGAGGCCCAGAAAGCCUAAGAGAAUUGGGCAUCAAAGGACUGGUGCGGAUUGGAAAUGACUUUAUUCCAUUGUAAAACUGCCCAGAUUAAGAAGUGAGCACUAUAGUCUAAGAGAUACAGGAAGUCAGACAUUUGAUAAUGCAAAAUAUCAAGGACAUUCUCUUCUCAUCAUGAUAGAAUGGGUCUGCACCGGGAGAGAGUAGCUGGAUUGAGGAUCAAAGAUCAGUCAUUCCAUAUGUUCAAAUCCUUGAGGAAGAGAAAAUGGGAAUAGGGAUUUUAACUAACCAUGUGUUCUUUUUUGCAGAAAACGUUACUGUACGCAUUCCAUGGCAUUCAUUACGACUUCUAUGGGUGGUAUUAGCACUUGGUGCUCAUUCCUUUGAAGAAGAAAAUGAGACAUGCACAAGCAUGAAAUUGAUUUUCUGGAAAAAUACAAGGACAAGGCUUCUGCCAUAUUGGCUUUGUCAUACAUGUAUGGGCAACAUAUAAGGCAUAUGGCACAAAGCCUUAAUGUUUCUAAUUAGUGCAACUCAAAAACAAUCCAAAAAAGCAGACAAAAAUAGAAGAGACAGCACAAGCAAACGAAGGAAAAAAGUACAUAGUUGGAGGGAAACAUCAUAUUGUAGGGUUCAAUUGGCACUAUUUUAGAAAAUUAGCUUUCAAUCAGCAUGAGCAAGGAAAAUCAAGCAAAAAGUGUGGCAAAAGCUGGGCACUUAACUGGACAUGGCAAUUUCAAUUCAUUUUCUUGGAACUUAAGCUUAUACUUACCUAGGUGGAUGGUUACAGUUAGAAGCAUGCAGGAUAAAACAUAUACCAUAGGAGCACAAUUAGAGGUUUUAUAGACAGUAAUGAGCAAGGAGCAAAGGCAAGAUGAGUACGUAUGCAAGGAAUUCGCGGCACUGGCGAUUACGUGCGAUAAAAGGAAGCUGCAAAUACAGUGCAAGCGCAAAUAUGAGCAAUGGGACGUUGGAGAUGGUAUGACAAUAUUCAGGACAGUACAAAAGAAAGGAAAAGGAUCAAAAUUCAACAGCAAAUGGACAAUAAAGAUACUACACAAGGAAAAUAGCUAUUGUUGCAAUAUUAAACGAUUGUAGCUAAUUCCACCACUGAGUGAGAGUAAAACUAAGUUUUUUGUUCCCUGCCUGUUUCAGUUUCCUUUCUUGUUAAUGGCAACACAUGUCCCUAGUUGUCUUAACACGUCCUCAGACAAACAGCCCCUAUUUUUGAAUGAAUGUUUACCGACAUCAUAAUUUUAAUAUUGAUAUAAUAUUAUGGAUCAAUUUCCAUGCUACGAUAGUUUGUCCUAGUUCAUGUAAACAUAGCAGAAUAGUAUGUACAAACACGAAGGGUUAUCAUAUAAGCUAACUGAAGUAAAAAAGUUGUCCAAUGUGUGUCACUUUUACAAGAUCUAAUCAACUGAUAAUUAGAAAUGGACGGAAGCUAAUGAGUUGAAAUAAACUCAACUAAUAACAAGCAAUCAACAAGAGCUAAUGAAUUGAAAUAAACUUAACAUACAAACAACAAUUGACAAUAGCAUUUACCAUUGUAGGAGGAGAAGCAAAGAUCCUAGCAAAUUGUUCUAGUAUUGACCCUUCCUUCAUUAUCAUGUAUGCUUUAAGAGUAUGCAUCAAUUGAUUGUACUUCUUUUGGCAUCCAGAAGAAGCACAAUCAACAUUAUUACUCACAAUUCUAAUAUUACCAAGAUGAAGAUUUGUCUCUUUGAAAGUAUUGCUUAGAGUAGCUCCAAAUCCCAAAUAUCUCACCCUUCCGGGAUGCUCUUUGCCUAGCACCUUACCAACAGUAUCAUAUGGAGAAAUUUCAGACUCAUCAACUGUACUUUCACUCACUACUAGCUCAAUUCUUUCCUAAACACAAUACACAUCAAAAAAAUCUGAGCCAACAUUAUACAGUUGAAACAACCUUGAAAGCAACAGUUGAAGCCUUCAACUAUUUCUCACAACAGGCUUUAUAUUGUAACUUACACAUAUUUCUUUUGCCUCCUCAUUUACAUAUGAUCCAUCUUUUUUCGUAUGUGUAGCAAGAUAAAGUUGUGCUCAUCCAAGCUUAUUUCUUGUCUUAGCCGUCUAUGUAUGAAAUCAAAAAUAAGUCAAAAUAGUUUAAUUAAAGUAAAAAAAAUAGAUACAAUAUCUAAAAUUUAAAUAGUAAAGUAAGGUAAAUAAUGUGACAUCUUUCACCAUUUCAUCCCAUCUUCUAGAAUUAGGUUUGGAGCCACCGAUGUGUGAAACUGUUUGUUUCUUCCACUUUUCAGCAUUUCUUUUACACAUAUUCUAACAAUAAGAUACAUUUCACUCAAUUAUAUAAGUGAAUAAUCAUAUUUAUAUGCAUUUCAAUCUGGCGUUUCAAAAAAAUACCUGAGUUUCUUCUUUAUAACGGUGGUUUACAAAGGAAGUGGUCCGGAGUAAUACCUACGGGAACAUUAUCCAUUAUCUCAUCUUUGGUUUUAAGUGGGUCUUUAAACUCAUCCCACAACUUAUGCCUACUUGAAGCCCAUUUCUUUAAAAUAGAGCGAUAAAAAUAUCCUCGUGAAACUUCCUCAAUAGUCAUAAAACAUAAAUGAGACGUCAAAAAUAAAAUUAGGUUAGUUUAUCUUUAUAUACAAAUAUAAAAACAGAAGACAAAAUAGAGAUAUAGUGAUAAAGAUAUAGAACUUAUACCUUUAUAAUGUUAUUAAAGCAGUCGUUAAAGUAUGAUUUAGGCAUAUCCGGCUAUUUAUCAAAGCCAAUUGGAAAUAUGGUACAGUUAGUUGCUAAAAGGCCACAUACGCCUGCAAGAAGGCCUUGUGCUUCACCAAUCAGAUCCAAGCAAUCAAACUCCACCACAACACGUUCUCCUUGAGGUAAAUUUAAUGCUUCUCUAGUCUUCAAUUUGAGCCUUUUGGUAUUUCCAUGUGAAUCUUUAACAAAUAAAAAUAAAAGCAAAAAAGUGAAGGUAAAAGAUAUGGUAUAGAGAGGUCUCAGGAGUAGUCGAAUUGUCUUCUUCAACAAUGUAACCUUCAGCUAUGGAACCUUCUAGUUGAGCCUUAUUACCUACGAGGGACUUAAAAUGACCUAAUAAUCCAUAACAUAAAAUGAAACAUGUUUAGAAUAAGCACUUAACUUGAAUUAAUAUUACAUACAUCAAAAUUCCGAAUAAGAAAAAUUAUAUCUUUUAACAAAAUACAUCCACCUGUAAUAUACCGGACCACCUUGUAUUGCUUUAUUUACUAGAUGGAGAGUUAAACGGACCAUUACAAUAAAGAACGAUGAGUAUAAUAUCUCCAAGUGGCAAAGUGUGAGAAUAAUACGAUCUUGUAACAUUUCUAGAUCCGCCAAACUCAAACUUUUAAGACAAAGUUCUCUGAAAAAAGAAGAAAGCUCUACUAAGACUGCAACAACCUCCUUUGGCAGCAUAUUGCGAACUGAUAUUGGUAGCAAUUGCUCUAUAAUAAUGUGACAAUCACGACUCUUUAAUCCAAAGAUUCUGCUUUGGUCCGGAUCAAUGCAACCUAAAAUAUUACUUGAGUAACCAUCUGGCACUGAAAUAUUCUUUAAAGUUGUGAGGAAAGCCACUUUCUUUUCCUUUGAAAUGGUAAACAUAGCAAGCCAACACUCAUCAUUCUCAUCAGGACAAAGAUCACGCCUUAUACCCAUAUCUUGAAGAUCUUUUCGUGCCUUAAUAUUAUCUUUUCACUUGUCUUUAUCAUUGAGCAAAGAAUAUAUAAUAUUGUCAAACACAUUCUUUUCAAUGUGCAUAACGUUUAAAUUGUGGUGCAACGAGUUGAACUCCCAAUAUGGAAGAUUAAAGAAUAUGGUUCUUUCCUCCAUUGUUGUGUUGCGCCUUGCCUAAUAUUUCUUUGUCUAGAUCUUUUUCUUCUCUCACUCAACUCGGCCGGUUUUCCAAAUGUAACAUCAAUAUCUUUCACUUGCGGCAUAUCAGAUCCAGAUAACUUUCUCUGUGGGUUUCUUUCUUCCAUAUUUCCAUCAAAGUGAUGCUUCAUCAGUCUAAAACUAUGAUUCCUUGCUAAAAAUCUACGAUGACCAAUAAAGCACCACUUUCUACUAUGGCAAAACCGACAAGGUUCUGCAUCAAAAUUACAAGUGGAACAUGUUAAACCAGUAUGUGAGUUCCAACCAGAUAAGAUAUCGAGUCUAGGAAAGUCACUAAUUGUCCAUAUACGAUCAUCUCGCAACCUAAACAUCUCUUUCUUUGAUGAAUCAAAUGUUUCUACACCUUCACUGUACAACUCAUUCAAAUCCUUAAUAAGGGGUUGUCGGAAAAUAUCUAUGUUAUUUCCCGCCAUAUGUGGACCAGAAAUGAUCAUUGAGAGAAUAAAAUUGGGUUGUUUCAUACACAACCAAGGAUGAAGGUUGUAUGGAACUAAAAUGACUGGCCAAAUGCUAUAACUAGUACUCAUCGUGCCAAAAGGGUUGAAGCCAUCACUAGCUAGGGCAAGGUGAACAUUCCGAGGAUCAAAGUCAAAUUCAGGAAAAGUUAUAUCAAACCUCUUCCAUGCCUCACCAUCUCUAGGAUGCCUCAUGAUUUCAUCUUUGUUAGUAUCAUCAGCAUGCCAUCUCAUAUAUUUUGCUAUUCUAGAGCAUAUGAAGAAUCUCUGCAACCUCGAUUUUAAUGGAAAGUAACACAAAAUCUUUGCAGGCUUCUUAGUUUUCUUCUUGGUUUUCUUCUUAUAUGUAGCAGACACAAGAUCUCCAUUUAUCUUCUUGUUAGGCUUCCACCUAGAAGUGUGAAAAUACUUACAUGUUUCCUCAUUAGCAUCAUUCCCCCAAAAUAACAUACAAUCAUUUGGACAUGCAUCUAUCUUGAUAUAAUCAAGACAAAGCUUGUUGAUAUUUUUCUUGGCCUCAUAAAAGGAAUGAGGGAUCCUUGCAAAUGUAAAUGCAUCCAUCAACAAAUCUAGUAUCAUGGUCAUUCCCUUGUCACUCAGCCCGGACAAAUAUUUUACGUGAUACAAUUUUAAUAAAAAUUCUAGUUUUGAGUACUUGGACCCUUCAUACAAUUCUUGACUUCCAUCUCUAAGCAACUCGAAAAAGUCUUUAUCAUUUGAAGCAGACUAAUCAUUUGACCUUUCUUAGCUACCCGCUACUUGCUACGGACCUAAAACAACCCCGGCGUGCCUUAGGCCUUUUUGCCUCAUAAAAAGAAUGAGGGAUCUAUGCAAAUGUAAAUGCGUCCCUCAACAAAUCUAGUAUCAUGGUCAUUCCCUUGUCACUCAGUCCAGACAAACAUUUUACGUGAUACAAUUUUAAUAAAAGUUCUAGUUUUGAGUGCUUGGAUCCUUCAUACAAUUCUUGACUUCUAUCUCUAAGCAACUCGAAAAAGUCUUUAUCAUUUGAAGCAGGCUCAUCAUUUAACCUUUCUUCACCACCCGCUACUUGCGAAGGACUUACAUCAACCCCAUCGUGCCUUAGGCCUCCAAAUGCUUCAUUGAUCAAUAAUUCUACUGGAUUUUCAGGAGGUAAUGUAUCUUGUAUAACCACAUUAUUUAUAGAAUUAGGCAGUAUAUUUCUUUCACCAUGAUUACUCCAAGUGAUAUUAUUUUCUGGGAAUGGUUUGGAAAUCAAAUGAUCGAGCGCUACCUCUCUAUUCUGCCACUUUGCAAAUCCACAUUUAGGACAAGAACACUUUAUUCUAUCUCCAACAACAGCAUUAGCAAAUCCAAAAUCUAAAAAUUGGUUUAAACCAAAUAGAUAUUACGUGGUGUUUCUUGCCUUUCUAAUCCAAGAUUAAUCCACAGAAAAGUAGUAACUUUCAAGUCAAGCUGAUGAACCUUUCAGAAUAUAAAGAGAAAAUAUCAGUUCUUUAUUAUUAGAAUACAAAAUAUUAACUAUUGGCAAUUCUUUAAAAGUGAAAAACAAAUUUCAUAAACUGAUUUCCCAAAAUCAAAGAAACUUUUUUUUAUUUGGAUUGAGGUGAUCUUAAAUGGAGCAACAUUCACAGUAAGGAUACAUAGCUUGGGAUUGAGGUGUAGUAGUAAUUGUUCUUCUUUUCCAUUGGAUGAUUUUCUUAAAUUUAACUUUUCUAAAUCAGCUAAUAUGCACUUACUAUUGUCUCCACUAACUUAUAGUAAAUUUAAGAUUUGGGAUGCCAAAAAUAUUGAAUCAUUUGUUGAUUUGAGAUUUUGGAAACUUCUAUAAGCAAAGUUCAUUCAUAAGUUGUGCUGCUUUAAGGAAAAACUAGUGUUGCCUUGAGUAUGGAAAAUUUAAUGUAAUUUUUUAUGCUUUCGGUGAAACUCAUUUUUUCUUAAAGCUGAUGGGGGUCACAAAGAAAUUUCAUUAAUUACCUUAAGCGUCAUUUGUGCAUUUUUAUAGAAUCAGCAACCAUGUAUCUACAGUAUAUAUCUAAAACUUGUAAACGUGGUUCAUAAAGUAUGAGUGUCAAUCUAUAUUUCUAUAAAUUUAACUUACAGAAUUGCAAAGAGAACCAUUGUUGUAUUAUCUUAUUACUCAUAGUUAAAUAGAUAAAACUAAGCAACCAAGAUCUACAUCAUUUUGCCAACAAAUUAAAGAUAAAGUCAACAUUCUUCAAAGUUAUUUGGUUUCUUUCCCUUCUUUCUCAUCGUUACAAGCAAAAGCAAGUUAUUUGGUUUACAAGAAAAGAAAAUAAGGAAAAAGCACACAAAAAAUCAUACAGAUCGACCAUUUAAUACACACAAAAACUCAAUAUCAAACACUAUUUAAUCAUACACACAAAAAUUCAAAAUUAAUAGAAUACCCAUAAGGGGAAAUAAGAAAAGAAAGAGAAAAAUCAAACCUGGGAGGUGUAAAGCAGUGUCGAUUGAAGCGGAGAAAUUCAAUUGAAACAGACCUUUAAUUAAAGUGGAGAACUUCGAAAAAAGAAGCAGAGUUCUUUGAAUAAUGGAGGUGUAAAACUAUUAAGCAGAGGAAUUCAAAUAAGCGGUGUUGUUUUGAAGGCGACGAUGGAGAUGAUUCAGAGUGAAACGGCAUCAACUGCUUUGCCUGGAUUUGCGAGAACUCCUAUGGUGAGGCAACUAACGGUAACUGACUCGCCUUUCCUCUUAGAGAUGGAGAGAGUAAUAGUCACGUGGAUGAGAAAGCUCAUAAAUUCAUUUGAACUUUCUACAUAGAUUUGAGAUGAGAAGCUUCCAUUUUUCCUUAAUUGAAGAUAGUCUUUGGAACUUCGAUUAAGAAGAAGAAGGAAAGGAGUAUUUUGUUUGGGGGUGGG
rnacentral:lncRNA from 1 species